rnacentral:rRNA from 1 species
UGAAAGGAAAAACGGAAAGUAACUAUCUUAAACUAGUUAUUUAAAAUUUACUUAGUAAGUGAAAAGUCUUAUAUAUAGAAAAAAGACGAGAAGACCCUAGAAAUUUUUAUAUAGUGUAUUAAAAUCUAUUAUUCUAUUUUGUUGGGGCGACAUAGUAACAGUUAACUUACUAUACACUACAAGCUAUUUAUUAGUCGAAAGAAUAAAUUACUCUAGGGAUAACAGCAUAAUUCUUAUGAGUUUGUGACCUCGAUGUUGGACUAGGAAAUAAUUUAUCUAGAAGAUAAAUUUGUUGGCUCUGUUCGAGCUGAUUCUCCUACAUGAUCUGAGUUCAAACCGGAGCUCCA